rnacentral:tRNA from 1 species
UGAUAAGAUAGUUUAGUUUGUAAAAUUCUUGCUUUACGCGCGAGGGAGGAGGUUUAUGUCUCUGUUAUCAU